UGGGAGCUAGUUAUCCCCUGAUUUCAUGGAC
rnacentral:piRNA from 1 species